rnacentral:rRNA from 1 species
CGGACGGGUGAGUAACGCGUGAGAAUCUGGCCUCAGGACGGGGACAACGACUGGAAACGGUCGCUAAUACCCGAUGUGCCGAGAGGUGAAAGGAUUAAUUGCCUGAGGAUGAGCUCGCGUCUGAUUAGCUAGUUGGAGGGGUAAAGGCCCACCAAGGCAACAAUCAGUAGCUGGUCUGAAAGGAUGAUCAGCCACCCUGGGACUGAGACACGGCCCAAACUCCUACGGGAGGCAGCAGUGGGGAAUUUUCCGCAAUGGGCGAAAGCCUGACGGAGCAAGACCGCGUGAGGGAAGACGGCCUACUGGUUGUAAACCUCUUUUGAUAGGGAAGAACACAAUGACGGUACCUAUCGAAUCAGCCUCGGCUAACUCCGUGCCAGCAGCCGCGGUAAUACGGAGGAGGCAAGCGUUAUCCGGAAUUAUUGGGCGUAAAGCGUCCGUAGGUGGAUAUUCAAGUCAGUUGUUAAAGCGUGGAGCUUAACUCCAUAAAGGCAAUUGAUACUGAAUGUCUAGAGUGCGAUAGGGGCAAAGGUAAUUCCCAGUGUAGCGGUGAGAUGCGUAUAUGUUGAGAAGAACAUCGGUGGCGAAAGCGCCU